AUUGAACGCUGGCGGCAGGCCUAACACAUGCAAGUCGAGCGGAGCGGCGGACGGGUGAGUAAUGCCUAGGAAUCUGCCCGGUAGUGGGGGAUAACGUCCGGAAACGGGCGCUAAUACCGCAUACUAUCAGAUGAGCCUAGGUCGGAUUAGCUUGUUGGUGUGGUAAAGGCCUACCAAGGCGACGAUCCGUACCUGGUCUGAGAGGAUGAUCAGUCACACUGGAACGGAGCGACGGUCCAGACUCCUACGGGAGGCAGCAGUGGGGAAUAUUGGACAAUGGGCGAAAGCCUGAUGCAGCCAUGCCGCGUGUAUGAAGAAGGCCUUCGGGUUGUAAAGUACUUUCAGCGAGGAGGCGUUACUCGAAGAAGAAGCACCGGCUAACUCCGUGCCAGCAGCCGCGGUAAUAC
rnacentral:rRNA from 1 species